rnacentral:lncRNA from 1 species
UCAAUUUAUUUUUAAUAAUAGAACUUGUAAUUGGAUAAUCGGUAUUAUUGAAUAUAAUUUAAAUUAUUUAAACUAUAUAGAAAUUAAAUUUUAUAUUUUUCGAUAUUGUUCUCUUGUGUAUCAAGUAAGAGCGCGUUAAAAUAAAUAUUUUUCAAAAGUAAUGAUACGAUUUUUGUAUUUAAUGUCUAGAAUCCGAAUCUUAAAAUUCAACUGAUUUAGACUCUUCUAUACCAGUAAAUGAGUAAACGUAUCGUAUUUGUGGAUCGUAGGCGCUAAUUAAUUAUCCCAAAAAUGCGUGCUGAUAGUAAGGGCGUACCCAUUGUACUUAAGGGCUCAGUCACAGCACUCGCGGGCUUCGAUCUAACAAAACCUAUUUGGACGUUGGGUCUAUUGUUGGACCUCUUGCCGUUAGGUCUCUUGUGGACCAUAUUUUUACUCAACUUAUUAGGCUCACCCAACUCCAACUUAUUAGUCUCCUGCGCCUAUUAUCACAGUGCAUGAAGUAGGACCCAUUUUAGCCCAAUAAUAAAUAGCCAAUGGUAUCGACCAUUAAAAUUAUAUUAUAAAAAUUAUAAUUUCUUGAUCGUUCGGUUAGUUAGUCAGAAAAGUAUAAAAUUUGAUUUUUAAAUAGUUAAAAUAAUCUAGAUCAUAUUUAACGGUACCGAUCGUAAAUUUGGAGUCUCAAUCAUUGAAAAUAAAUCGAUAAUAAAUCGAACCGUUUACUAGCGAUAGU